UGAAAGGUUUCAGGGGUGUGGACUGCGAAGUUGGUUUCGUGGAAAAGCUACUGAACUGGGCACCAGCUCUGGAAGAAGUGAAGAUAGAAUGGAUGGGCAAAACAGAGUGCAGCAUGGUUCUUGCUAAGCUAUUAGCUCUGCCGAGGGUGUCUCCCAGGGCGAAGGUCAUUGUUACAUUUUGAUAAGCUUGCAUCCCUGUAGUCUACCGAGCAUCCCCCAUCACUUUGCCGCCAAGUAGGACUGUUUGAUCUUUCUUUAUGCCAAGACUAGAUGAUGGUUAUAUAUGUGUGCAUUUGAGGCAAAUCAUCAGGCAGAGGGAGUACUUAAUGUGCUAUUAGCAAGUGUUUUCCUUUGUUGAGCCGGGGACACACAAGCCGCUGUGGUACGAAUUCUUUGCAAUGUGUGCAUUUGAGGCAAAUCAUCAGGCAGAGGGAGUACCUAAUGUGCUAUAAGCAAGUGUUUUCCUUUGCAAUGUUGUUAGUACGAAUUCUUUGAAUAUCCAUGAUGCUAAUGAUGAUUGCACUAGUUAUGAUGAAAAUGUCUCCUAUAAACAUGUCAAUUUUUGUGGAGUGCAUUGGGUUUGUAAGUACACACCAAAUAGGGAAGAUAGAUAUUGCAAGAGGCAUAAGUACUUAGAAACCAAAUUGUUGCAAGAAGAGCUAGAUGAAUGUGCUGAAAGAUUCAAUAUUUUUCGCGCCCCUUGUGAACUUUGCAAUGAACAUGGUCAUUUAAAGCUCCAAUGCAAAUUGUUUCAUGAUCGUAUCGUGUCCAAAAAUUGUGAUGACUUGAUUUCCCUUGCACAUCAUAGUGAACUUAUUUUGCUCUUUCGUUAUGAAGAAAUUAAACGUAUAACUAAGGAUAUUCCAAAAUUUGUCCUUGAUAAAGUUCUUCAUUUUGAUCUAGAGAAAAUUUAUAUGUAUUGUGCGGUGAAUUGUAUUGAAAAUCCUUAUAUUGCCAAUUACGUAAAGAAAAGAAAACAAAUAGAAGAUGAAGAGAAUACUAAUGAAAGGGAAGAGACUUCCCAAUACCCUCCUAUUAUUUCUUAUGAUGAAUCAGGUAACGAGGAUGAGCCUUCUAUUCAACCAAUCUCAUUAAUAAGGAGCUCCAAAAAGAGGAUUGAACCCACACAUGAUGUGGUGAAGAAGAAGAAAAGAAAAAGGAAGAGAGGUAAAAAGGUAUCUCUCCCAGAUAAAGUUGCUCCUAUUAUUGUUGUGCCUCAUAAAAAUGAAUCAAAAAUAAUUGUGGAAGAUGAUGCACUUGAUGAUAAUCUCGUUAUGCCUAUUGCUUGUUGUGAUGAUUAUGAUUGGGAAGAUAAUGAUACUUCUUAUGAUCUCGAAAAUAUUUUUGGCACUUGCUUGGAAGAAUAUGAUAAUAAUGUUUGCUAUACUAUUGGUGCUAUCCAUACUAUUAAUGAUGAGAGUGAUUAUGCUUAUGAUAUAAAAAGGCCCAAGCUUGGGGAUGCUAUGUUUAAUAAUGAUGAUAUUUUUAGCCUCUCAAGUUUCGAUAUGCAAAGUUGUUAUGAUGAUAUAUAGCAUGCCUUCUACCUAUGAUGAUUAUAUUGAUGAAUGUGGGUUUGGAAGAGUGUCAACUUUAGGAAGUAAUGAUCCCACUAUUUUGGAGUAUGUUGAAUCUUAUAAUAUUUAUGAAAGUGGAUUUGGAGAGGUCAUGACUUUAUUUAGUGAUGUAUCCACUAUCUUGGAAGAGGUUUCAAUCGAUUAUGAUGAGAACAAAGUUGCUACUUAUGAUGAUUAUUGUGAUGAAACUUAUGCUAUAAAAAGUAGCGAUGAUUAUAUUUAUAAAACUUGUCAUGAUUAUGAUUACCCUUUCUCUGAACAUUACUCUUUUAAUGUGGAAACAAUUUAUAGUAUUCAAGUCUCUUAUGAUACUCACACUAUUCCGAAUGAGAAGAAUUUUGCUUAUGUGGAGAGUAAUAAAAUUUCUAUGCAAGUAGAUCAUGAAAAGAAUGAUUUAGUUGCUGGUUAUAUUGUUGAAUUUAUUCAUGAUGCUACUGAAAGUUAUUAUGAGGGAGGAACAUAUGCUUGUAGGAAUUGCAAUAAUAUCAAGUUUCCUCUCUAUGUGCUUAAAGUUUUGAAGUUAUGCUUGUUUUACCUUCCUGUGCAAGUUGAUCAUUGUUCCCAUAAGUUGUUUGCUCACAAAAUCCCUAUGCAUAGGAAGUGGGUUAGACUUAAAUGUGCUAGUCAUAUUCUUCAUGAUGCUCUCUUUAUGUUUCAAUUCUUAUCUUUUAUGUGAGCAUCAUCGAAAUCAUCAUGCCUAGCUAGGGGCGUUAAACGUUAGCGCUUGUUGGGAGGCAACCCAAUUUUAUUUUAGUUUCUUGAUUUUUGGUUCUGUUUAGUAAUAAAUAAUUCAUCUAGAUUCUGUUUAGAUGUGGUUUUGUGUUUAAUUUAGUGUUUGUGCCAAGUAGAACCUUUGGGAACACUUGGGUGAAGUCUUUAUGAUCAUGCUAUAAAAACAGAAACUUUAGCGCUCACGAGAUUAGCUUCAAAUUUUUACUAGAGAGUGAUAUUUAGUUGAUUCUUUUUGCAGAUGAUUACUAGACAAAUUCCUCAGGUCCACCAAUUUAUUUUAGAACUUUUGGAGUUUCAUAAGUUUGCGUUAGUUACAGAUUACUACAGACUGUUCUGUUUUUGACAGAUUCUGUUUUCUAUGUGUUGUUUGCUUAUUUUGAUGAAUCUAUGGCUAGUAAAAUAGUUUAUAAACCAUAGAGAAGUUGGAACACAGUAGGUUUAACACCAAUAUGAAUAACAAUGAGUUUGUUACAGUAACUUGAAGUGGUGUUUUGUUUUUUUCGCUAACAGAGCUCACGAGUUUUCGGUUAAGUUUUGUGUUGUGAAGUUUUCAAGUUUUGGGUAAAGAUUCGAUGGACUAUGGAAUAAGGAGUGGCAAGAGGCUAAGCUUGGGGAUGCCCAAAGAACCCCAAGGUAAUAUUCAAGGAUAACCAAGGGUCUAAGCUUGGGGAUGCCCCGGAAGGCAUCCCCUCUUUCGUCUUCGUUCAUUGGUAACUUUACUUGGAGCUAUAUUUUUAUUCACCACAUGAUAUGUGUUUUGCUUGGAGCGUCAUUUUAUUUUCUUUAGAUUUGCUUGCUGUUUGAAUAAAAUACCAAGAUCUGAAAUUCUUAAAUGUUAGAGAGUCUUCACAUAGUUGCAUGAUUAUUCGACUAUUCAUUGAUCUUCACUUAUAUCUUUCGGAGUAGUUUGUUGUUUGCUCUAGUGCUUCACUUAUAUCUUUUAGGGCAUGGUGGUAGUUUAAUUUUGAAGAAAUAAAUGAACUCUCAUGCUUCACUUAUAUUAUUUUGAGUGUCUUAAAUAGCAUGGUAAUUUUCUUAAAUAAUCAUAAUAUGCUAAGCAUACAAGAUAUGUAAGAAUUCUUAUGAGUGUGUUGAAUACUAAGAGAAGUUUGAUGCUUGAUGAUUGUUUUGAGAUAUGGAGGUAAUAAUAUCAAAGUCGUGCUAGUUGAGUAGUUUUGAAUUUGAGAAAUGCUUGUGUUGAAGUUUGCAAGUCCCGUAGCAUGCUCGUAUGGUAAACGUUAUGUAACAAAUUUGAAACAUGAGGUGUUCUUUGAUUGUCUUCCUUAUGAGUGGCGGUCAAGGACGAGCGAUGGUCUUUUCCUACCAAUCUAUCCCCCUAGGAGCAUGCGCGUAGUGCUUUGGUUUUUGAUGGCUUGUAGAUUUUUGCAAUAAGUAUGUGAGUUCUUUAUGACUAAUGUUGAGUCCAUGGAUUGUACGCACUCUCACCCUUCCAUCAUUGCUAGCCUCUUCUGUACCGUGCAUUGCCCUUUCUCACAUUGAGAGUUGGUGCAAACUUCGCCGGUGGAUCCAAACCCCGUGAUAUGAUACGCUCUUUCACACAUAAACCUCCUUAUAUCUUCCUCAAAACAGCCACCAUACCUACCUUUUAUGGCAUUUCCAUAGCCAUUUCGAGAUAUAUUGCCGUGCAACUUUCCACCAUACCGUUUAUCAUGACACAUUCAUCGUUGUCAUAUUGCUUAGCAUGAUCAUGUAGUUGACAUAGUAUAGCUGGCAAAGCCACCAUCAUAAUUCUUUCAUACAUGUCACUCUUGAUUCAUUGCAUAUCACGGUACACCACCGGAGGCAUUCAUAUAGAGUCAUACAUUGUUCUAGUAUCGAGUUAUAAUCAUUGAGUUGUAAAUAAAUAGAAGUGUGAUGAUCAUCAUUCAAUAGAGCAUUGUCCCAAUAAAAAAAGAGGAAGAAGAAGGCCCAAAAAAGAGAAAAAAAGAAAAUAAAAAGGGGCAAUGCUACUAUCCUUUUUUCACACUUGUGCUUCAAAGUAGCACCAUAAUCUUCAUGAUAGAGAGUCUCUUGUUUUGUCACUUUCAUUUACUAGUGGGAACUUUUCAUUAUAGAACUUGGCUUGUAUAUUCCAACGAUGGACCUCCUCAAGUUCCCUAGGUCUUCGUGAGCAAGCAAGUUGGAUGCACACCCACUAGUUUCUUUUGUUGAGCUUUCAUACAUUUAUAGCUCUAGUGCAUCCGUUGCAUGGCAAUCCCUACUCCUCGCAUUAACAUCAAUCGAUAGGCAUCUCCAUAGCCCAUUGAUUAGCCUCAUUGAUGUGAGACUUUCUCCUUUUUUGUCUUCUCCACAUAACCCCCGUCAUCAUAUUCUAUUCCACCCAUAGUGCUAUAUUCAUGGCUCGCGCUCAUGUAUUGCGUGAAGGUUUAUAAGUUUGAGAUUACUAGAGUAUGAAACAAUUGCUUGGCUUGUCAUCGGGGUUGUGCAUGAUGAUAGCAUUCUCGUGUGACGAAAAUGGAGCAUGACUAAACUAUAUGAUUUUGUAGGGAUGAACUUUCUUUGGCCAUGUUAUUUUGAGAAGACAUAAUUGCUUAGUUAGUAUGCUUGAAGUAUUAUUAUUUUUAUGUCAAUAUGAACUUUUGUCUUGAAUCUUUCGGAUCUGAAUAUUCAUAUCACAAGUAAGAAGAAUUACAUUGAAAUUAUGCCAACUACCAUUCCACAUCAAAAAUUAUCUUUUUUAUCAUUUACCUACUCGAGGACGAGCAGGAAUUAAGCUUGGGGAUGCUUGAUACGUCUCCAACGUAUCUAUAAUUUUUGAUUGCUCCAUGCUAUAUUAUCUACUGUUUUGGGCAAUAUUUGGCUUUAUUAUCCACUUUUAUAUUACUGUUGGGACUAACCUAUUAACCGGAGGCCCAGCCCAGAUUUGCUGUUUUUUGCCUAUUUCAGUAUUUCGAAGAAAAGAAAUAUCAAACGGAGUCGAAACGGAACGAAAUCAACUUGAGAAGUUAUUUUUGGAAGGAAAGCUAUCGGAUGGACUUGGACCCCACGUCAGGAAAGGAGGGAGGCGGGCAUGUGGGGCCCCUGAAGCUCCACCGACGUACUUCCUUCACCCAUAUAUACCUACGUACCCUAAAACUUCCAGAACGGAGAUUAGAUCUGGAGUUCCACCGCUGCAAGCCUCUGUAGCCACCAAAAGUCAAUCGGGACCCUGUUCCGGCACCCUGCCGGAGGAGGGAACCCUCACCGGUGGCCAUCUUCAUCAUCCAGGCGCUCUCCAUGAAGAGGAGGGAGUAGUUCACCCUCGGGGCUGAGGCUAUGUACCAGUAGCUAUGGGUUUGAUCUCUCUCUCGCUCUCUCUCUCUCUCUCUCGUGUUCUUGAUUGGCACGAUCUUGAUGUAUCGCGAGCUUUGCUAUUAUAGUUAGAUCUUAUGUUUCUUCUCCCCCUCUACUCUCUUGUAAUGGAUUGAGUUUCCCCUUUGAAGUUAUCUUAUCGGAUUGAGUCUUUAAAGAUUUGAGAACACUUGAUGUAUGUCUUGCCGUGCGUAUCUGUGGUGACAAUGGGAUAUCACGUAAUUCACUUGAUGUAUGUUUUGGUGAUCAACUUGCGGGUUCCGCCCAUGAACCUAUGCAUAGGGGUUGGCACACGUUUUCGUCGUGAUUCUUCGGUAGAAACUUUGGGGCACUCUUUGAGGUUCUUUGUGUUGGAUUGAAUAGAUGAAUCUGAGAUUGUGUGAUUCAUAUCGUAUAAUCAUACCCACGGAUACUUGAGGUGACAUUGGAGUAUCUAGGUGAAAUUAGGGUUUUGGUUCAUUUGUGUCUUAAGGUGUUAUUCUAGUACGAACCCUAGGGCUGUUUGUGACACUUAUAGGAAUAGCCCAAUGGAUUGAUUGGAAAGAAUAACUUUGAGGUGGUUUCGUACCCUACCAUAAUCUCUUCGUUUGUUCUUCGCUAUUAGUGACUUUGGAGUGACUCUUUGUUGCAUGUUGAGGGAUAGUCAUGUGAUCCAACUAUGUUAUUAUUGUUGAGAGAACUUACACUAGUGAAAGUAUGAACCCUAGGCCUUGUUUCAACGCAUUGCAAUACCGUUUACGCUCACUUUUAUCAUUAGUUACCUUGCUGUUUUUAUAUUUUCAGAUUACAAAAACUUAUAUCUACCAUCCAUAUUGCACGUGUAUCACCAUCUCUUCACUGAACUAGUGCACCUAUACAAGUUACCAUUGUAUUGGGUGUGUUGGGGACACAAGAGACUCUGUUAUUUGGUUGCAGGGUUGCUUGAGAGAGACCAUCUUCAUCCUACGCCUCCUACGGAUUGAUAAACCUUAGGUCAUUCACUUGAGGGAAAUUUGCUACUGUCCUACAAACCUAUGCACUUGGAGGCCCAACAACGUCUACAAGAAGAAGGUUGUGUAGUAGACAUCAUACAUAUCUGAAUGGGAGUACACAUUAUGCUGCGUGUGACAUUUGAGUUGGACAUGAAGUGUUCCAAAUAUUCGAAUUCACCUUAAACUGGAUUCUAGUUUCUGAAUUUGAGUAUCGCCAUUUGUAAACCAUAUUCAUAUAUGACAGUGGAAUACAUCUUUGUCAUCCUUUCGAAGAUAUAUAAAAACACAUAGAAUGAUUUAUAAAGAUUCAUAUAGGAAUACAAAAUGGAUUCAAAUUUAGUUGCCGGGUAAUCGUGGAUGCUUAUUGUCCCAAAAUUCGAAAGAAACGGCAAAAUGUCCACUCCUACGUCGGCUGCCCGAAGCCAAGUGUUUGGGAGAUGGAAAUUACUGUCUACCCAUUACACGGACAAUCCAUCGGCCCGAUUUCCACUGCUCUAAAUAGGGGUAGGUUAGUAACUUCAAUUAGAUGUGACACCACCGCCUCUGAGCCCAUUCCGACACGGUGGGCGUCAAACAUGGGCGGCAAUACUCAUUUGAUUCAAGCUCGUCCGAAAGACCUCUGUUUCUCCCUCCAUUCCCCAUUCAUACACGAUGGGCAGAAAAACAAACUCUCCUCGUCCAAAAUCGAUGUAGGCUAAUAUUUUAAAUAGGGGCAGAUGUGUAACUUCCAUCAGACGUGACACAACCAUCCUACCUGUCAGCCCCGUUCAUACACCGUGGGCGCCAACCGUGGGCGGCAAAACACCCUCUCCUCGCCCGAAAUAGUUACCGGCAAAUAUUUGGGAGAUGCGAGAUUACCGUCCUAUCCCCAACUGACGAGACGUCCAAAUUUUAAACGGGAGCUAAGUUCGUAACUUUCCCAUAUUUCAGACAGGCGCGUCCCAAAAACAUGGUUCCCCGUACCUCUCCCUCCAUUUUCCCAUUCAUACACCGUCCGCACUAGAACACCCCAUCCCCACACCAGCCUCCGUCCACCACCCCAUCCAUCGCCGCCGUCCUCCACCACAUCCAUCGCCAUCGUCCUCCACCAUGCCGGAGCGCCUACAAAGACCGCAUCGUCCACUGCUAGAGAUGGACGUUUCUCAUCCACGGCGAUGAACCAAUAGCCUUGCAUCACGUCCUCUCGCUUCAUCGGCACCGUCGUCCUCUUUGUCGGGGCCGCUCACACGACCUUCUCUUCCACCGCAACGGGACUUAUCCCCCGAUGCACCCGUCUACCGUCGCAGAUCUGCUUCAACGCCACCGACAGCCAUCGCAUCCCCGAUGCCUACAUGGCGCCACAAGAGAGGUGGUACUUCAUAUCUCCUCAACUUUUUGAUCUCAACCAUAAAAUAGAUCUUAACUUGGUUACUCUACUUUCUUUUCAGCUCUUAGAAUUUAGUUCUUAGUUUGAAGCAAACAAUGGAUGCUAAAUAUCAUUUCUCCGGUUUGCAACUUCAAAUCUGCCAUGGCACAGCCAUAAUACGGUUUAAUUGAUCAUGCUUAGGGUUUAAUUGAUCAUGUUGGUUCCAUGGUGGUUUCUUUAAUAGAAAUCGGAGGGGAAACCCUCUUUGGCUAAAAAAUAUGCUUAGAGUUUCCCCCUUUUAUGAUCACUAUACGAUCAGAAUACGUGCUUCAUGUCAUAAUAACACUACUUCACCCAUCAAGCUAAACAAGCUUAGUUGUUCAAAUAUGAAUCUAAUAUUAUUAAAACAGAGUUGUUUAAUUGGUCAGCUAAAUGUUCCUAAAUUAGUUUCAAAAAUGCAUGUUCGCCGCUCAGGUGUGUAUCUCUGUGUGUGGUCUGGUCAGCAUGGUUGGGGAGAUGAACUUUGCAUAUGCAGGGGUUUAUAGGGAGACACUCUCCGAGUUGAAUCCGCAAUGCAUUCCAUAGAUAAUCUGACUACUUUUUAUGUUUUCAUGAAUCUCAGACUCUGAACAGCAUCAUAAUGAUUAUGAGCUUGUGCGCAUGGAAAGAAUAAAGCAGAACAAUGCCAUGGCUGUCAAACUUGGCAUUAAGGGACUGAAAUCAAGUCUGGAUGCAAUGCAAUGCAAACGCUCUCCACCUAUAGAUUCGUGCUCAUAAUAUGAUCGUAACAGUGAUUCUGAGCUAGAGGGAGACCUAAGUCAAUGUAGCUCCCUAGUGGAGGUGUCAGAGGAAGAUGCCCUAUCUUAUUCACCCAUCAAGGUACUUGCUCUAACUUUCCAAGGUUACAUUGCUCGCACAUAUCUUGCAACUGAUGCUUUGCAUUGCUUCUACUUUGUUGAACUGCCAUUAGCUUAGUUUACACAUCGUGUAUGUGAAUACGCCCUGCCUAUCCAUUUUCAGUACAUAUUCCAUCUGUCAUCACACCAUAUUUAUCCAUUCAAAUGUUGUUCUUGUGUAUCAGACGUUCAAAAGGAAGAGGGUGAUUGUUGACCGUGGAGGAGCAAAGCAAAGUAUUUGGAAAAGGUAGUGGCACCUGAUAAAUCAAUUAGCCCAUUAGGUGUAGUUGCAAUAUCACCUGACCCAUAAAAUACCCCAACUCUAGCAGACUCUAGCCCUACUACACUGGUCAUUUCUGAUGCCCCAACUCAGCUGACCCCAACUGCAGCAAACAGUAUGAUUAUGCCAGUUGACAUAGCACCAGCUGUACGACGCAAAACCCCCAUUCCAGCAAAGCGUACACCAAAUCCAGUUGCCAAAUUCCUUUUCGAACCAGAGAGAGCCUCAAUUGCAGCAAAUAGGACCCCUGUUCCAUUUCUUCCCAGUUUAGAAGACGAAGCUUAUGUUGUUGUCAGGAACUUUGUGUGCAUCUUUCCUUCAUGGAAGGAUUAUACCGCAGACACAGAAAAAAUUCCAGUCUUCCUCCGCAACUUACGCGUAAGUAAUGUACUAAUGUUAUUCAUGGUCAUUACUGCAUAUGUUUCUGCUGAUGGAAGACACAAGAUUUCAUUCUUUUAAAUAGGCAAGGAGCAAAUUGGAUUGUGAUGACGAGCAAGGGUUGGUUGCGCUUUUCAAGAACUUGUUGAUGAAGUAUCAUUCCUACCUAAGGCAAGCGCACUUCGAUGGCAAGCCUCUGAACGAAAUUUUUAUAAAGUCUCCGAUGCUACAUUUAUCCAACGGUGACUGGAAUAAUCUUGUUACACAUUGGUCUCGGCUGCAGCGUAAGGUACUGUCUAUGAUAUCACAUCACAAUUUGAACUACAUUUCUGCAUUUGCCUUAAUGUCUCACUUGUACGAAAACUGUUAGCAGAAGAAAAUUCGUUCUCAAGGGACCACGGAAUCUCGCAACUAUACUGCACACUGCAUUGCUCUUGUGAGUACCUCUUGCCCUGUAUGACCAUACUUACUUUCAUAGAUGUUUGAUUAUGUAGCAUCACUGCACAUGUUAGCCUCGUAAUCGUCCAUUUGGUGGACAUUAUAAGAUCCGUAUGGACUCUUACAUAAAUUUAGAAUCAACCUAAUGCUUUUGAAGAGGUUUAGCUCUGCAGUCCUCUUGUAAGGACUGAACAUGGUCUAUCACUGUACUUACAUUAACAGCUACUCCCUCUGUCCCAUAAUAUAAGAACGUUUUGUACAGUACACAAGUGUUCAAAACACUCUUGUAUUAUGGGAAGAGGGAUUGGUUCAUUUUGUAGCAUUCUGCAUCUUAUCUCCCUCGCCCACCAUUUACUAAAAAAUAUCAGAUCUAUAUUUAAUCUUACCAACAAGUAGAAUACACAAACAAUGCCAGUGUAGAAGUGUAGCCCAUUGCUCUUGUCAGUAUAUUUUGUCCUGCAAUGCUUGUACUUCCAGGGAUUGGUAGUUGAUUAUGUAGCAUCAAUCUGCAUCUUAUCUUCAUUAUCCUCUGUCCCUUCCAGUAUUAUCAUAUCUAUAAUUACUCUCUACAAAAUGUAGAGUACAAGCAAUCCUUAUGAAGAAGAUUUUGUGCUGAAAUUCUUGAGUUAUCCUUCCCUUGACAUGGAGAAGGGCAUUAUAAAGACGGUGUUAACUAUUAAUGUAAGUCAAUCCUUCUAAAGCCUUUAUCCUCAACUGCUGUUUAAUUUGCUCAUACUCCCUAUCGUUUACUGCUGUUUAGUUUGCUGUUUCUACCAAAAUGCAUGUUCGUAAGAACCAUAAGUUCUAAGUUUUACUUGUAAAACCAAAUUCCUUAUUCAUACCAUGCACAUUACUUAAUACGCCCUAUAUGUAUGCUUGUUCUUGUGGAUCCAUAAUCCAGUGUGUGGUGAAGCAGCCCACGUUUGCACCUUGUCAUCUCCUGUUUUAUCUUACUGAUGUGGCUGAUGAUAUGAACAACAUGCCAUGCACAUUAUCCAAAAUAGAUAUAAUGAUUUUCUUUGCCCUUCAUCUAUGCUUGUUAUGUUGACAUGGUAAUCCAGUAGUGUGGUGAAGCUCCCCGCAUUAUGAACAAUGCCAAAUUAUGCUAUUGAUAUUUUGAACUUACUCUUUAUUUUCUAAUUUGAAAUUGGAUAGAAUUGACAGAACAGUUAUCAUCUUUGUUUAUACAUGUGCAAUCUCUCUGCUUUGUUUCAGGGUGAUAUGCCUAAUGGCAUGCACAAGUCUGUUGAAGGCUGUGAGACAAACCCAACAUAUAUUGCAGCAAAGAAGGCAAAACAUCUUGAAGAUAGCGAGACAACCCCAAAGUCUUGUCUUGAUGCAGUGUUCAAGUUACUUGAGACUAACAGUCAGACAAGCUCACGGAAUUUGUUGUCUGAAUCAGUCCGACUUCUUCAGUCCCAAGUUCUAGCAGAAAGGCAUUCUGUAACUCAACUUCGACUUGAAGUCCUAUCUCUAAGAAAGAUUGCGGAGAACACCAAUGAGAACCUCAUCGCUAAACAGCUACACCUGGAAGCUAUGACUGACAUGCUAGGCCGGUCUCACAGCCUUGCUCAGUAGCUUGCGCAGCAGUUCCCCCUCAAGGCUAACCUUUCUUGAACUGUCUGGGAAGUGGUCUCGGUUUAGUACUAUUUUGUUAUGCUACAAUGGUGCCCAGUUUUUGUAAUAUGCUUCUUCGUUGCGUUUUAUGAUCACUGGUGGCGAACUUCGAUGCCCAGUGGAUGUAAUAUAACUUAAAUCCUUUAUUGUAUAGUGUAGGUUUAUUCUUAGUUAAUAUGUCGUAAUUUCUUUAUUAUAUAGGGUAGGUUUGUUCUUAAUUCCUACUAGUUACGCAACAGCCCGAAAUGAAACCCGGCCCAUGAUUGUGCGAAUCAAAUCACGGGCUUUUAACAGGCCAAAAUUGUCUCAGUCUUUGUUUGGCCCAAUCAGAUAUCGGCUACGAGCAGGCCUGAUGCAAACCGGGCAGUAGUUAGGCCCAACUAUAUGACAAGCUUUUAACAGGCCAAAAUUAAUAUAGGGCCGAAAUGUUAAACGGGCCCUUAACAGGCCAAAACUAAUAUCAGGCCGAAUUACUAAGUGGGCCUUUAGAAAGUGGGCUCAAAAGCAUAGUGUCCAGUUGACGGGCCGAAUCUGAUAUGGGUCAUAAUUGAGCCCAAAGCCUCUUAAAGGGCCGGACCUAAUCUGGGCCGUAAUUUGGCCAAGAACGUGGUAGGCUUUUAACGGGCCGGAUCUCAUAUAUGCCACUAUUAGGUCCGGAGCGUGGCAGGCCAUUAAUGGACCGGAUCAAAUAUGGGCCGGCAUUUGGCCCAAAACAUGGCAGCCAGUUAAUGGGUCGGCCUACCAGGGCCCUCAAAAUCUUGUGGGCCUACAGCUGGGCCGGCCCAUUAAUGUCGACGAAAUCUCGUGGGCCUUUAACUGGGCCGGCCCAUUAUGACCCGCAAGAAUCUUGUGGGCCUUUACCUGGGUCGGCCCAUUAUGACACACAAAAAUCUUGUGGGCCUUUACCUGGGCCGGCCCAUUAUGGCCCGCAAAAUCUUGUGGGCCUUUAGCUGGGCCAACCCAUUAUGGUCCGCAAAAUCUCGUGGGCCUUUAGCUGGGCCGGCCCAUUAUGGUCCGCAAAAUCUUGUGGGCCUUCAGUUGGGCCGGCCCAUUUAAACUUUGGGCCGGUCCACGUGUCAACAUAUCUUAGGCGCGUCUCGCCCAUUGGAUGAGUGACACCUGUGCCAACGCGGACCUGACACGUGUCUCCUCCAGCCAAUGAUGAUUUUACACGUGGAAAAUCCCCAUUAGUCGGGGCUGUUAACGGGUUAUCGGAUCCAAAACCUGACUCGAUAGCUUAACGGCGUUCCGUUACGGUGGAUGCCACGUGUCGAUCACCCUUCACGAAAGCACUUCUGUGACGCGCGAUUUAUCGUCAUGGAAGUGGACACUUCUGUGAUGAUAAUUUUAGUAAUGUCAUGGAACACUUCUACGACAUCACAGGUAUGACUAUCUUGAUCCAGUCAUAAAUUUGUCAUGGAUGUACAUGGAUGACAAAAAACGCGACCUACUGUGACAAACACGUAUCAUCACGGAAGUGUAUUUUUUGUAGUGGAGACUGAAGGAAAUAUGCCCUAGAGGCAAUAAUAAAGUUGUUAUUUAUAUUUCCUUAUAUCUAUAUCUAUAUUUAUAUCUAUCUAUAUCUAUCUAUCUAUAUCUAUAUCUAUCUAUAUCUAUAUCUAUCUAUACUUAUACUAAUUAGCGACUCCCAAGAAAUUACCACGUUAAUCAGAUUUUACGAGCCGUUGAUCUGGUGGGACCGAAUUAUUACGGUACAGAUUAACCUUCGUAAAAAAGCCACAAACCUUUUGGCCAGUUUAGGUCGGCUGAAAAUAGACUGAUUAUAAAGCCCAUGUUUACAGCCGUAAGAGAGGCCCAUAAUGCUCUCACGAUAGCCUCAAAGGAAUCUUAAAGAUUGUCUCCAAAAAAAGAAAUCUAAAAGAAAUAGUUUCUUAAAAAAAAUAUAAAAGAGAUAGAGUCCCGUAAAAAAUGCACCUCCGGCGCCUCUUUCUCUCCACGUCUCUCUCUACCUCUCAGGUCUCUCUUCCUCCACGCAUGAAAAAUCGAUCUGUAUCUCACCGAUAAUUCAAGCAAAGAAGAUGGGCCAUGGAUCCCAUGCAUCUCUCUUUCUCUCUCAUGUCUCUCUCUCUUCCGCUCUCAUGUCUCUCUUCCUCCCCACAUGAAAACCAGAUCAGUAUCUCUCUAUAAUUGGAACAAAGAAAUUGAGGCCAUGGAUUCCUUGCCCCCCCUCUCACGUCUCUAUCUUCCUCUCUCAUCUCUAUCUUCCUCCGCACAUGAAAAACAUAUCCGUCUCUCUCUCAAACUGAAGCAUAGAACUUGGCCGUAGCCAUCAGAUGGAAAGUAAGACGUGAUCUCUCAUACUACCACUUAGGGGUGUCUUAUUCCCUUGGGACUCUCUCAGUUCCCUAGGAAAAACGUAAUUUUUAAAAAAAAUCUGAGAAAUAAAUUUGCUCACGCUUAGAAGUCCAUAUACAUUAAGAACUCUUGAUCUGAUCGUUCCAUACGAGAGCAUGCAUGUUAUUACGUGAGGAAAGUGUAAACUAAGACCUCCUAACAAUCAAUUUACAAAUAACCAUUGGAUCUUAAUUUUACGACUAGGCUUAAAUGUUAUAUGGAAGUAUAUUGGAUUGUACUUAGCAGACAAUAUACGUUUAGAAUUCUUGAUCCAAUCGGCCCUAAAGAGCCAAUACAUGUUCCCCUAAAAAAACAGAGUCCAUAAUACAUGUUACGUGAGGAAACAUGUAAACUCAGACCAACGAACAAGCUACAUCUUCUCAAAAAAUAAAAUAAAAUAACGAGCUAUACAUUUUUCACGGGGAACGUACUAAUCCAUUUACCCAUGCAUGUCACGCAGCCAGCAAUAUACUAUCGCAGAUAAAUGCAUGUUUGUUCCCUAUGUUCAAAAUCUGCGUACAGUACCUAGGUGUCAUAUACAUACAUCUAGGUACGAGGGAUAACUAUUCUCUUACCCACAAAAAAAGAACCAAUUGUUCUAUUCCAAUAAUAUAGGUACCCAGUUUCAAAAAUAAAAGUACAAAAUCACAAUGUGUGUAACCUGUAUACUAUAUCAAUCAUGUCAAUAAAUAUCAUUUAUAAUACUUCCUAUUCUCUCAAAUUUUUGUAUCUUAUGCACUUAGUGUUGUAAAAAUAUAUAAAGAAAUUAGAGCCGCAAAAUUCUAAAUCUAUCUAGAAAAUAUUUGUAAUAACGAAAUACUAGAUUCGAAGAUAACUGUAACUUCUAAAGGGGUGCAAGUGCGUCCGAAAAUCACGGAUUUAGACGUGAAUGUGUGUAUUUUUACUUGAGGCAAUGACUAUGUGUGUUUAAAGCUUAAUAAAUAAGAUAUUUAAUGAUUAUGCAAAAAAUUAUGACCGACUGUAAUCAAUAAAUAAUCUUAGUUCAUACUAAUCAAAAGAAGGAAUGUGCUCACGUACAAAAAAGAAUUAUGGCAUAGGUGUCGCUAGAUAAUGCUAUAGAUCAUACGCUAGAGUACCAUUUAGUUGUCACCAGUCAAAGAAAGGUAUGUGAUUACUUUUCUUGAUGGCUCGGUUGAUAUGUCGGAACCAUAUCCUAAACUCAAAUAGGUUUCAAAAAUAUGAGAAAUGUUAAACCUCCAAUAUAUUUAGGAGGUUUCAAUACUCCAAGAAUUUAAGACUGACCAUGAGAGAGCGCGAUAGAGCACAUUUGAAUUCGGCGAAGAUCGACCGAGUUAUGUUGUAAGACAUUACAAAACAAUGAUGUCACCAACUGUAGUUGUGGCACAAAGAUCAACACAAAACUAUGAUAAAUAUAAACAUCAGACAUGAACCACUAUGUUCUGAAUAUAUCCAUAUCAAAUUGGAAUUGCACUCACAUAUAUUCCUCUAUACUAUGAACAAGCCCGUGCGGACGCACGGGUUGACGACUAGUCAUGAUAAAUGUUUAUUAUUCAUGCUAGAAUUGUAUUAACCAGAAACUUGAUACAUGUGUGAAUACAUAGACAAAACAAAGUGUCCCUAGUAUGCCUCUACUAGACUAGCUCGUUAAUCAAAGAUGGUUAAGUUUCCUAACCAUAGACAUGUGUUUUCAUUUGAUGAACGGGAUCACAUCAUUAGGAGAAUGAUGUGAUGGACAAGACCCAUCUGUUAGCUUAGCAUAAUGAUCGUUUAGUUUUAUUGCUAUUGCUUUCAUCAUGUCUUCAAAGGUGUUUGUUGUGUUGGCAUAGAUCGAGAAUAGGAUUUGUCACUGCGUGUAUCAGAGACGUAUCUCUGGGCCCUCUCGGUAAUGCACAUCACUAUAAGCCUUGCAAGCAAUGUGACUAAUGAGUUAGGUACGGGAUGAUGCAUUACAGAAUGAGUAAAGAGACUUGCCGGUAACGAGAUUGAACUAGGUAUGAGGAUACCGACGAUCGAAUCUCGUGCAAGUAACUGAAGGAAAUAUGCCCUAGAGGCAAUAAUAAAGUUAUUAUUUAUUUCCUUAUUUCAUGAUAAAUGUUUAUUAUUCAUGCUAGAAUUGUAUUAAACGGAAACUUAGUACAUGUGUGAAUAAAUAAACAAACAGAGUGUCACUAGUAUGCCUCUACUUGACUAGCUCGUUGAUCAAAGAUGGUUAAGUUUCCUAGCCAUUGACAUGAGUUGUCAUUUGAUGAACGGGAUCACAUCAUUAGAGAAUGAUGUGAUUGACAUGACCCAUCCAUUAGCUUAGCACUAUGAUCGUUUAGUUUGUUGCUAUUGCUUUCUUCAUAACUUAUACAUGUUCCUAUGACUAUGAGAUUAUGCAACUCCCGAAUACUGGAGGAACACUUUGUGUGCUACCAAACAUCACAACGUAACUGGGUGAUCAUAAAGGUGCUCUACAGGUGUCUCCGAUGGUACUUGUUGAGUUGGCAUAGACCGAGAUUAGGAUUUGUCACUCCGAUUAUCAGAGAGGUAUAUCUGGGCCCUCUCGGUAAUGCACAUCACUAUAAGCCUUGCAAGCAAUGUGACUAAUGAGUUAGUUGUGGGAUGAUGUAUUACGGAACGAGUAAAGAGACUUGCCAGUAAUGAGAUUGAACUAGGUAUUGAGAUACCGACGAUCGAAUCUCGGGCAAGUAACAUACCGAUGACAAAGGGAACAAUGUCUGUUGUUAUGCGGUUUGACCGAUAAAGAUCUUCGUAGAAUAUGUGGGAGCCAAUAUGAGCAUCCAGGUUCCCCUAUUGGUUAUUGACCGGAAACGUGUCUCGGUCAUGUCUACAUAGUUCUCGAACCCAUAGGGUCCGCACGCUUAACGUUCGGUGACGAUCGGUAUUAUGAGUUUAUGUGUUUUGAUGUAUCGAAGGUAGUUCGGAGUCCCGGAUAUGAUCACGGACAUGACGAGGAGUCUCGAAAUGGUCGAGACAUAAAGAUCGAUAUAUUGGACGACUAUAUUUGGACAUCGGAAUGGUUCCGAGUGAGAUCGGGAGUAUACCGGAGCACCGGGAGGUUACCUGAACCCCCCCGGGAGGUAUAUGGGCCUUAUUGGGCCUUAGUGGGAGAGAGGGGAAAGGAGAAAAGGAGGCCCCCCCAAGCCCAAUCCGAAUUGGGAAGGGGGCCGGACCCCCCUUUCCUUCCUCCUUCCUCCCCCUUCCUUCUCUCCUAAUCCAACUAGGGAAGGGGGGGGGGAAUCCUACUCCCGGUGGGAGUAGGACUCCCCUUGGGGCGCGCCUAGGAGGCCGGCGUCCUCCCCCUCCUCCACUCCUUUAUAUACGGGGGAGGGGGCACCCCAUAGACCCACAAGUUGAUCAUUGAUCUCUUAGCCGUGUGCGGUGCCCCCCUCCACCAUAAUCCACCUCGGGCAUAUCGUAGCGGUGCUUAGGCGAAGCCCUACGUCGGUAACUUCAUCAUCACCAUCAUAAUGCCGUUGUGCUGACGGAACUCUCCCUCAAAGCUCUACUGGAUCGUGAGUUCGUGGGACGUCACUGAGCUGAACGUGUGCUGAUCGCGGAGGUGUCGUACGUUCGGUACUAGGAUCGGUCGAUCGUGAAGACGUACGACUACAUCAACCGCGUUGUCAUAACGCUUCCGCUUACGGUCUACGAGGGUACGUGGACGACACUCUCUCCUCUCGUUGCUAUGCAUCACCAUGAUCUUGCGUGUGCGUAAGAAAUUUUUGAAAUUACUACGUUCCCCAACAGUAACAUUCUGAUGACAAAGGGAACAACGUAUGUUGUUAUGCGGUUUGACCGAUAAAGAUCUUCGUAGAAUAUGUAGGGACCAAUAUGAGCAUCCAGGUUCCACUAUUGGUUAUUGACCGAAGAGGUGUCUCGGUCAUGUCUACAUAGUUCUCGAACCCGUAGGGUCCGCACACUUAACGUUCGAUGACGAUUUGUAUUAUGAGUUAUGUGAUUUGAUGAACCGAAGUUUGUUCGGAGUCCUGGAUGAGAUCACGGACAUGAGGAGGAGUCUUGAAAUGGUCGAGAGGUAAAGAUUCAUAUAUGGAAGGUUGCAUUCGAACGUCGGAAUGGUUCCAAGUGAUUCGGGCAUUUUUCCGGAGUACCGGGAGGUUACCGGAGCCCCCCGGGGAAAGAUAUGGGCCUUAUGGGCCAUACGAGGGAGGCUAACCAGCCCACAAGGGGCUGGUGCACCCCCCACAUGGGAGGAGGCCGAAUUGGACUUGGGAAGGGGGCGCCACCCCGCUUUCCUUCUCCUACUCCCUCUCCUUCCCCUUUUCCCCCUCCGGUAGUAGGAAAAAAGGGUGGGGCCGAAUCCUACUAGGACUGGAGUCCUAGUAGGACUCCCCUCUCCCUGGCGCGCCCCUUGUUGGACGGCCUCCUCCUCCCCUCCUUUAUAUACGGGGGCAGGGGGCAUCCCAAAGGCACAACAACACAAGUUGAUCUUUUAGCCGUGUGCAGUGCCCCCCUCCAUAGUUACACACCUCGGUCAUAUUGUCGUAGUGCUUAGGCGAAGCCCUGCGCCGGUAACUUCAUCAUCACUAUCACCACGCCGUCGUGCUGACGCAACUCUCCCUCGGCCUCAAAUGGAUCAAGAGUUUGAGGGACAUCACCGAGCUGAACGUGUGCAGAUCGUGGAGGUGCCGUGUGUUCGGUACUUGGAUCGGUUGGAUCGCGAAGACGUUCGACUACAUCAACCGCGUUACUAAACGCUUCCGCUUUCGGUCUACGAGGGUAUGUAUACACACUCUCCUCGCUCGUUGCUAUGCUUCUCCUAGAUAGAUCUUGCGUGAUCGUAGGUAAAUUUUUUGAAAUACUACGUUCCCCAACACUCCGGCGAUCCACAAGGGCAAAGAUGGGAGGAUUUGUUGAAACAGUUUUCUAGACCGAGGAUCGAAGACGAGGAGGAGUUCAAGAAUCGAGGAGUGUCACCGACUUGAAGAACGAUUUAGGGGCUACCAAUGGAGUCCCGGACUAGGAGGUACCUACCAUGUCGACUCCCGGCUAGGUGGGCUUUGACAAGGACCUCCUUUGCCGGUUCCAUCAUAGGACCCAUGACGCAUACAAGGAAGAUUCCACAAGGUUUGAUGCACAAGAGGAGGAUCCUAGGCCACCGAUACAUUAUAUAAACCAAGACUAGGCUAGUCAAUAAAUCAUAUUCUAGACAUCCUAGAGACUCAUUCACAUCCAAUCUCAUGGUAGAUCACAUGUACUUUGUACCCCAUCCACAAUCAAUACAACAAAGCAUGACGUAGUGUUUUACCUCUUUGAGAGGGCUCGUACCUGGGUAAACAUCGUGUCCCCUGUGUCCUUGUUACCAUCUAGCCAAGACUACCAGAUCAAGACCCUUACCCAAGAUCCGCCGGAUUUAGCUCAGACAUAGUGCAAGUAUAAUAUAAUGUCAUCACCACCUUGACAUUUGAGUUACAUUGUAAAAACAAAAAUUACCUUGCCUUCAAUUGAGGUUGUGUAAUUUACUGCAACAAAGACAAAAAUAUAGACCUCCUCCAAUAACAUAAUAAACCUUCAUGCAACACAACUAGAAUGGUUUGACGUAACUAACCACACCUUUAAUAUGUGUAUAUGCUAGUGCGACAACAUUACAAUAGUUCGACUAAACUCUAAACAUAUAACAGUCUAUAAACAUUAGCUAUGCACAAUAUAAAGGUAAUAAGUUUCAUGAUCAGUCUAGUGGCCAUGAAACACCAUUAGAAUAUUUCACUUAAACUCAAAAUCCUUAAUAGCUAUAUUUUUUAAAAAAUGGUGCUCACCACCAUCACAAAACACCAGGAUUGAAGAACGAGGCAACACAUGUUGGGUCUAAAACAGCGCACGAGGGCGCGGGAGACCCGGCCUGCCAUGAAAUGGAAACACAAACGACUGGAUGGAAUUGACAUCGUGGGACCAUCUUAAUUGGUCAUGGCGUGCAAGCAGCCGAGUCGGGUGGUCGCGGUGGCAUUAGAGGCACCAUCUCCACGGAUCAACGGCGGGACGGAAUGGAGGGUAUGAUGUAGGCGAGCGACAGUGCGCAGCCGAAGAGAGUGAAAACUAAAUUAAGGGAGAGGGGUUUGGUGGCGACAACGAGUGUUUGGACUGAAGAUGACCAGUGUAUACUUCGAUAAUAAACAGGCCACGUACACAACAACACUGACCGGCGGGAAAUUGAAGGGUGGGAUUUAAAUGGUUGAGGUCAGAGAGAAGUUUCCCUUCAUUGUAGUCAUCGGAGAAAACCAGCAUUGACCUGUCAUUUUUAGACCGAUCUGUGAUAACCAUUCAUCCAAGCCAAAAUAAUCUAAUCACUGACAGGCCUACCAUGUCCAGUCAGUGCUAAGGGUCAUCACUGAUGCGUGUACCCUCUGUGAUGAGGGGGCAGCGUUCUUUAGUUCUGUAGUAGUGUUUUCAUGCUCGGUGUUGGGUUCGUUACACUUGUGCCACUCGCUUGAAUGUCUUUUUAUUUUUCUUUUCACGUGUUUGUUUGAGGAUUUCUCACCACUUUGCAUCUUUUCAGACGUUUUUACCUUUAUUUAAAAAGGGGACGGAAGCCUGUUUCAAGAAUAAGGGGUCGAUUACGUGCAAAUGUAUAUAAUAUUGCUAAUUACUUGAUAUAAGUUUAAUGUUUACUUGAUCAUUAGGGGGUCCAGGCUCCUGCUCGAUUAGCAUCAGCCGGCCGAUCACGCGUCGCGUUCCGUCGCUCGUGCAGCCGUCAGAUCCAAGUUCCAUCUGACGAUGCACAACGUACAUCUUAGUGCAAAAUACCUGAUUCAUGGCACCACAUGACUCGGUCCGCGCGUGACGCGUGCCUCUGCCACCUUAACAACUUUUCUGCAAUAUCAUAUGUGUUGCAGAAGUCCUUUCGCAACAACACCCAUGUUGCAAAACAUUUAAGUCGAAAAAAAUAUUUCGCAACAUCAUCUGUGUUGCAGAAGUCGUUCCGCAGCAACACCCAUGUUACAAAAAAGUUAAGACGAAAAGAAAUUCCGCAACAUCAUCUGCGUUGCAAAAGUUGUUCUGCAACAACGCCAAUGUUGCAUAAAAAAGUCGAGACAAAAAAUAGUAAUUCUGUAACAGAAUCUCUAUUGUGAAUGUUUCUGAAACAUAUGGUCUGUUGCAAAGAAUAAUUCUGCAACAAUGCAUUUGUUGCAAUGAUGAGGAAAGACCCGUGCCGCUGGAUAACACCGGAUCAAACGACCGUCAAGGCGGCGGAUCUUUUAAAAAGAUCUGCCGGCUUUUUAGCAUUGUGGAUCUAGUGAUAUCGGUAUUCAUGUGUUGUUCCCUUCUUGAAUGCUUCGUCAUUGAAGCACUUCUUUUACAAUAAGGGGCGUUCUCAUCAAUGGCGAUUGAUCUUAACGUUUGCAGCUUCAUGCUUGAGUUUGCUUCAACGGGAUUUUUGGAGGUCAUAUUUUUUUUCUUUCCUUGUUUGUAGGCGUUGGUGUUGGCUAUGCACAUCUUAGUCUUGUAGAGAGUCUUCGUGUGUAAUACUUGUAUUUUCUUGAUGCGAUUUAUAAAUUAAAAAAAAUCUACCCUUUAUGAGGGAAAAACCCCCGAAAAUGGUAGGCCAUUCAAGUAUUCAGCCCAAGGUAAGGACCAACGGCAAAGAAAAAGAAAGGCCCAAUAAGGAGUAGCCAUCCAGCCCGCCUGGUUCUCUCCCAGUCUAUCCCCAAGCCCAAUUCGGCAAUGCCACUGCUCAGCGAGUCGCCGGCCAAUUGGGCGUUUCCCCAUCUGUCGCAACCCUCUGGCGGCGGCGCGGCGGCGUAGGCAUCCGGCGCGGCGUCGUGCCUCCGUUUCCACAUCUUAGCCACACGCCGCAGCAGGCGAGCAGCGUGGCUUCAUGUGGCCUGUUUAUUGAAGAUUAUUGAAGAAAGAAUACUAGGUAAUUUAUUCCGGCUUCCUGUUUCAUUUCAUGAGAUUUGUUCGCCGUGAAUUCACGAAUUAUUGAAGAAUAAGGAUUUCAUGUGGCCUGUAUCGCUAUGUUCUUUGGGCUAUUAGAUCCCCGUGAGGAUUAAUCAGAUUGUUUGUGACAAUAGCAGAUUAUAGUAUGUUCUAGUUAGUCGCAUGCUUUUUUUAGAUCCAGUUGCUUAACUGAAUUCAGUUUAGUUCCCUGCUAUUUACAUUGCCUAGUCUUAUUCUCUAGCUCCCACAGUACUAAUCUUAGAAUUAAUCUUUUUCACAGGUAGUCUUGUACUCCAUCCGUCCCAAAAUAAGUGUCGCAGACUUAGUACAGCUUACUAAGUCUGUGACACUUAUUUUGGGAUGGAGGGAGUACUUGGCAUGGCCACACAUAAUCUAAAAUGCUAAAAAGAACGGAUACGGGGACACGAGAUACGACCUUUUCCAAAAACAGCCCAUCGGGGACAUGGGAUACGACAUUUUCCAAAAACAGCCCAUCGGGGACACGGCAAGUUUGUAUAACAAUAAAUAAAUAUAUGCCAUGUAAUAUAGAGUUAAAGACAAAAAAAAUAACGAGAAAGAGAUCAGAAUGGAGAAUACUGCCCCAUUUGUUGUCUGUUGUCUCCUAUUUCAAGUGGUUGAUUGAUCAUCCAGACCAGAUCCAGGUCAAUUGUCAUUGCAACUUGCAAAACACAUCACCAGGUGGUUGUCCUCCUUCACUCUCACGGUCUCACCCACAGAUGAUUGGCUACCUGCGGUGGCGCCACUCCCAGAUGUUGUUUUCUAACAUGAAGCACCAAUCAACAGUUCAGAACAACAUGAGGAAGCAACAAGCAAGCAGCAUCACAGGAACAGCAUGGCGAAGCAACAAGGAAGCAGCAGCAGCAAGGGCAUUGGGAACAGGGGAAGCAACCAGCAGCAACUCAACAAAAAAUGGAUUCAGAUAGAUGAAAGGGGUCGAGGUUACCUGCUCCAGCUUGGUUGCCGUUGGGAGGAGAGGCUUCUGCACUUGGGAGACGGCGGCAAAUCCAUAUGGCGGUGGCGGUGGCGACUCCAGGAGGUGGCGGCGGGGAGUCCAGCAUCUGGGAAACCCUAUAUUUUAUGGCGUCGACCAGUCCAGGAGGUUUCCCAGCUUUGUAGCGGCCGUGAAUGCAACCUGCAAAGAAAAGGGCUUUCCUAUCGGGCCGAAGCGUAGUUUGGCCGACCGAGUCCCCCACGUGACCCCUGCGUGUCCCUGCCGUGUCCUCCCUUUUUUUUAAUCCGUAAAUCGGGAAAUAUGGCGGGAUACCGAGCGUGUCCCCUUGUUCGGCCGUAUCAGCACGGGGAUUUGGCAACUUCUGCCGCGUCCAUGCUUUGUAGCUAAAAUGACAAAACUGCUAAAUCCGCACUUUCAGCUUGCAGCAUGAUCGCACAUGUAUUCAACAAAAGAAACCCCUUUCCAACUUGCAGCAUGGGAAAUGGUUGCUAUUCAAGAUCACAAAUUAGGGUAUUGUAACACAUGUCAAAUGAUAAUCAAGCUUUUGAGCUUACCAGUGCAGUAGUCAAGUUCAGUUCUGUUUAUAGAAACAUACCGGACUUGCUUCCCUAAACUGCCUUCUCUCGGUUGUUCCUUUUUUUCUAUGAACAAGCAACUUACUUAGUGCACCAUUUAAUUUCAGCACGUGUUGUAUUUUUAGUGAUAGCACGCUAAUAUAGGCUCCCUGUAUUCUGGAAAUGUUAGGACAGCUUAAUCCGGAUUCUGAAGAAAUGAGUACCUGUAAAAAGGCCAGGGCGGAAUCUACAUCUGUUGUGAGUUCAGACAGACUGAGCAGUCUACCUCCAGAGAUAAAGGGCGACAUCCUAACCCGUCUGAAUGUCGAAGAAGCGGUUAGGACUAGCACCUUAUCAACUACUUGGAGGGAUGCAUGGACUAAUAUGCCAAAAAUAUUUCUGCGCGAUGGAAAUUUUGCAAGAACCAAGUUCGUCACAUUAGUCGAUAUGGUGCUAUCACUCCACAAGGGAACUGUAGAGAAGUUCGAUAUUUCAGGUAGCAAAACUUACCAUAACGAGUUCGACAGGUGGAUGCUCAUGCUUUCAAGGAGAUCACCAAGAUCAAUUAUAAUGGAGUUGAAAUCAGGGCCUGGUUAUAGGAUUCCCUCAUGUCUAUUUUCCAUCGGCGAUUUAGAGAUUCUGCACCUGCAAAACUGCAUCAUCAGCUUGCCCCAGGUAUUCCAAGGUUUCAAGAGAUUAACUCGCCUCAACCUGAAAAAUUUCUCGUCUACAGACAUGGACAUCCAAAAUCUGGUCUCCUUCUGCCCCAUACAGAGUUUUUUGGAACUAGCUUCUUUUGAGGGCAUCAACCAUCUAACCGUUCAAGCUCCUAAACUGAAACUUCUUUAUGUUGUUGGGGACGUUGAGGACAUUAAUUUGGAUGCCCCUAAUUUGGAGAUGGCUGCUCUCUUUCUUGAUCACAAAGCUAUAGCACAUCAUUCUGAUCCAAUUGCGCUUCACAAGGAAAGCUAUGUCAAGCAGUUAGUGGGAAGCCUAAGUGACAUCAAAACCCUUGCUAUUAGCGACUCUUUACUGAGGGUGAGCUAUUAUUAGCUCUAGCAUUACUAUGGCCUUCUUUUGGCUCCUGACUAAUCUGUAUUGACACUUCCUUUUUCUUUUUCUGUUCAUGUUGUAGUAUCUAUCAAAAGGUUGCAUACUUACAAAGCUCCCUGCCGUGUUUGCUCACCUGGAGGAUAUUUAUCUUGCAUAUGCUUUGGGGACCAGCGGCAAUUCUUGGCCGCUUGUUCAUUGUUUCAGAAUGCCCCUAACUUAAAGAAGCUUGACUUGUGGGUACGUAUGCCUCCAGUAAAUCCUCUCCCUUCCUCAGUCAUUCAACCCAUGUUCAUUCUUAUAUUUAUGGCACCUAAUUAAUGAGUUGUGAAAAAAAAAAUGGAGAGUCAAUCUAAGAGCACAUGGGAUCAGGAUCAGGAUCAGGCGAGCAUUCCAGAGCUUACCAUGCAAGUGCAAUUGGAUCAUCUCAUAACACCAGUGUGAAAGGUUUCAGGGGUGUGGACUGCGAAGUUGGUUUCGUGGAAAAGCUACUGAACUGGGCACCAGCUCUGGAAGAAGUGAAGAUAGAAUGGAUGGGCAAAACAGAGUGCAGCAUGGUUCUUGCUAAGCUAUUAGCUCUGCCGAGGGUGUCUCCCAGGGCGAAGGUCAUUGUUACAUUUUGAUAAGCUUGCAUCCCUGCAGUCUACAGAGCACCCCCCAUCACUUUGCCGCCGAGUAGGACUGUUUGAUCUUUCUUUAUGCCAAGACUAGAUGAUGGUUAUAUAUGUGUGCAUUUGAGGCAAAUCAUCAAGCAGAGGGAGUACUUAAUGUGCUAUUAGCAAGUGUUUUCCUUUGUUGAGCCGGGGACACACAAGCCGCUGUGGCCCUUCCUCAACUGCGUCAGUUCAGCUCGUCCUGCUUUGU
rnacentral:lncRNA from 1 species